GUGUCUGUAGCACAAUUGAUAGCGCGUUGGACUUCUAAUCCAAAGGGCGUGGGUUAGAAUCCUACCUGAGACG